rnacentral:rRNA from 1 species
CUGGUGGCGAGUGGCGAACGGGUGAGUAAUAUAUCGGAACGUGCCCAGUAGUGGGGGAUAACUGCUCGAAAGAGCAGCUAAUACCGCAUACGACCUGAGGGUGAAAGGGGGGGAUCGCAAGACCUCUCGCUAUUGGAGCGGCCGAUAUCAGAUUAGCUAGUUGGUGGGGUAAAGGCCUACCAAGGCAACGAUCUGUAGUUGGUCUGAGAGGACGACCAGCCACACCGGGACUGAGACACGGCCCAGACUCCUACGGGAGGCAGCAGUGGGGAAUUUUGGACAAUGGGCGCAAGCCUGAUCCAGCAAUGCCGCGUGAAUGAUGAAGGUCUUAGGAAUGUAAAAUUCUUUCACCGGGGACGAUAAUGACGGUACCCGGAGAAGAAGCACCGGCUA